rnacentral:rRNA from 1 species
AUGUUUUUGGCUCAUAAAGUGAUAGCUGGGAGUGAAGAUGACUGCUACGUUUUAUCGCUGGGCUCCGGCCAGCCGCCCAGGAACAUCGGGCCGGAGCAAGCGCAUAAACUGAUAUCUGACACCAAGUCUGUACUAUUCCGUGGUAGAUUGCAUUGGUACCGGGUGCAGGAGAAGGUCAAUAACAACAUGAUAAUUGUGUUUGACAUCACAGCCGAGUCAUUCCGGCAGAUGCAUGUUCCUGUUCGUGGUUGCUCUGGUGAUGACCUGUUUGAGAUGGAUGGCAUGCUUGGCAUGUCCAGCUUCAGAGACACAUGGACAACCAUUGAUAUCUGGGUGUUGCAGGACUAUGAAAGCGAGGUCUGGACCAUCAAGUGCAAGAUUAAGUUGCCGCUUAUGGAGACCAGGGCAUGGUGUGGAAAGGAUGAUGAAUUAUGCGAGCUGGUGGUUGUGCCUGGAGAUCAUGAGCUGCUCGUGCUGAUCAAAUUUGCCGAGUGGCUAUUUCAGGUUGGCAUGGAUGGCAAGUUGGUCGCCACUUUCCAUCGCAAAGGCGUCCGCCCUACUCAAUUUCAGCUCAAACAAGCUCUUGUUCAGCAUGACUUCUUUCCAACACUACAGGGUUAUGUUGUGAACGAUUUUCCUUUCAUCUGA